rnacentral:rRNA from 1 species
CCUACGGGGGGCUGCAGUAAGGAAUAUUGGACAAUGGCCGCAAGGCUGAUCCAGCCAUCCAGCGUGCAGGAAGAAGGCCCUAUGGGUUGUAAACUGCUUUUAUCAGGGAAUAAACCUCUGGAUUCACUCCGGAGCUGAAGGUACCUGAAGAAUAAGCACCGGCUAACUCCGUGCCAGCAGCCGCGGUAAUACGGAGGGUGCGAGCGUUAUCCGGAAUUACUGGGUUUAAAGGGUGCGUAGGCGGCUUUGUAAGUCAGGAGUGAAAGUUUGCGGCUCAACCGUAAAAUUGCUUCUGAUACUGCAUGGCUAGAAUUAGGAUGAGGUCAGCGGAAUGUGGCAUGUAGCGGUGAAAUGCAUAGAUAUGCCAUAGAACACCAAUUGCGAAGGCAGCUGGCUAGACCUGGAUUGACGCUGAGGCACGAAAGCGUGGGGAGCGAACAGGAUUAGAUACCCCGGUAGUC